rnacentral:lncRNA from 1 species
CAGGAGAGUACAAACAGUAUAGAAAUGGUUUCCUUUUCACCGUUGAAAUCCUUUGCAGUGACAUUCUAGAAAAUGCCGAGAGUCCUCUAUGGGGAGAGUUGGUCACUAUUUUAAAGGUGGCUUGAAAUACAUGGGCUAAUCUAGGAGAGAAGACUAAACCCAGGCUAAGACUAUAAUUGGGAAAGAGUCAGCAGUCACUCCUGUUAGGCAGGAUAGGGGAGAGGGGAACGUUUGAUCAUUUCUGUAGUCAGACAGUGUUCAUGUUUUGUCUGUGUUCAGACAUAGUUACGAAGUGGUCUUGUCUUUGUCUUGGUCCAUCCUGGUCACAGAAUGGCUUCAUCUGAUGUUGACACUCUGUGAAAUGCUUUAUGUUCAACAGGAGAACACCAAGGCCUCACUGAGAGUGUCAGACGAGUCUGGAUGGCAGGGGUUACAUGCUGUCCCUCAACCGAGUGCCAUCUCACCCGGGACCCAUCAUAGCCCAUGCAGGACCCAUCGGUUCAUCUUCUGCUGCAGCGUUCAUAGUUCUAGAGCCUGGACCUUGGAUGCAAAAUUGGUAUUAUUUUCUAAAAAGUCCUGUAUCUUCCAAGUGGAGGUCAUCUGCUGGCACAAGCCGGACUGCACCAUCUGAGCAUUCAAACUCACCGAGUGUUGAAAAGAGGGUCAAGAGGAGCCAAGCAACUCAUGGAACUUUUCUCCCGGGUAAGAAACCUGCAUCCCAGGGUCACAGUCCCCUCUCUUUGUGUCUUUUUUCCCCUUUGUGUCUUUAAUUUGUUCCUCACCACUAGUUAUUUUACUUCAUCCUACAAAUAGACCCCCAAAUCAAGAAUGCAACUGGCUACGAGGCACAGAUCCUCCUGAGUAUCUGGUGGGUGACUCCCGUGUAACCCAUUCAAAAUGGAAUCCAUCAGGUGCUACUCCCCCGCCUACAUCCACCUCCCCAGACCUGUUCUAUUCCUGUACACUAUUUACUGAUAUAUAAACACACUCAAUCUAAAAACCUUUUUCAUAAGCAGAAGUUCAUAUAAAUGACUAUUAAUUCUCACUCUUAUUAAUGUCACAGUAACAUUUUUCUAGUAAUAGAAAAGUAAGCUUAAACAUUAAGCUAGUGAUAUUGACAACAUAAAUUGUAUUAUAAAGGUAACUGUAAACUCUGCAAUUACACUAAUAAAAUAAAAAUUUCUAAAGUGAC